rnacentral:rRNA from 1 species
AGUGAACGCUGGCGGUGGGCCUAACACAUGCAAGUCGAACGGCAGCACAGUAAGAGCUUGCUCUUACGGGUGGCGAGUGGCGGACGGGUGAGGAAUACAUCGGAAUCUACUUUUUCGUGGGGGAUAACGUAGGGAAACUUACGCUAAUACCGCAUACGACCUACGGGUGAAAGCAGGGGAUCUUCGGACCUUGCGCGAUUGAAUGAGCCGAUGUCGGAUUAGCUAGUUGGCGGGGUAAAGGCCCACCAAGGCGACGAUCCGUAGCUGGUCUGAGAGGAUGAUCAGCCACACUGGAGCUGAGACACGGUCCAGACUCCUACGGGAGGCAGCAGUGGGGAAUAUUGGACAAUGGGCGCAAGCCUGAUCCAGCCAUACCGCGUGGGUGAAGAAGGCCUUCGGGUUGUAAAGCCCUUUUGUUGGGAAAGAAAAGCAGCAGGUUAAUACCCCGCUGUUCUGACGGUACCCAAAGAAUAAGCACCGGCUAACUUCGUG